rnacentral:rRNA from 1 species
GACAGAGGGUGCAAACGUUGUUCGGAUUUACUGGGCGUAAAGCGCGUGUAGGCGGCUUUGCAAGUCGGAUGUGAAAGCCCACGGCUCAACCGUGGAAGUGCAUCCGAAACUGCAUGGCUUGAGUCUCGGAGAGGAAGGUGGAAUGCUUGGUGUAGAGGUGAAAUUCGUAGAUAUCGGGAGGAACACCAAUGGCGAAAGCAGGUAACUGGACUAUUACUGACACUCAACUGCGAAAGCUAGGGGAGCAAACAGG